UAAUGAGGUUGGUUUAGCACCGAGUAAGAUUUUGAAUCCACAGCUAGGAUCAUUGGAAAGUGGAACUCCAUUUUCGCUUUGAAGUUCGAACCUUGUGGCUACGCAGGCUUCGUCUUAGGCUCUGCUAUGUACUCGCAUUCGCCGAACUACCGUUCAAAAUGCAGAGCUCCUGCACUUGUCAUCAUCUUCCUCAUGUGUUCCCUCUCCUUCACUAACGUCAAUUCCCAGGUUUCAGAAGCAUGUUCGGCCGCUACGGAUUGUGGGGCAGGUCUCUUCUGUGGCAAUUGCCCCGCUUUGGGCUUGAAGCAACCCAUCUGCACCAGAGGCCAACCCACCCUUCCAACACCCAUCGUCAAUGGGUUGCCCUUCAACAAGUACACUUGGAUUGUGACCCACAAUUCCUUCAGCAUCGUCGAUGCACCGCCUCUUCCCGGUGUUCAGAGGAUGACCUUUUACAAUCAAGAAGACUCUGUCACUAACCAGUUGAGGAAUGGAGUGAGGGGACUUAUGUUGGAUAUGUACGACUUCCAGAACGAUAUCUGGCUCUGUCAUUCAUUUCGUGGGCAAUGCUACAACUUCACUGCAUUUCAACCGGCUGUUAAUACUUUGAAAGAAGUGGAGGCGUUCUUGACAGAAAAUCCAACUGAGAUCGUUACCAUCAUAAUUGAAGACUAUGUGCACACUCCAAAGGGGUUGACUAAUCUGUUCACAAGUGCUGGACUGGACAAAUAUUGGUUUCCAGUCUCCAAGAUGCCGAAAAAGGGUAACGAUUGGCCCACUGUGACGGAGAUGGUUCAAGCAAAUCACAGACUUGUUGUUUUCACUUCAGAUGCUUCAAAGGAAGCAGAUGAAGGAGUAGCUUAUCAGUGGAGGCAUAUGGUCGAAAAUGAGCCUGGCGAUCCUGGAGUGGAACAGGGUUCUUGUCCACACAGAAAAGAAUCAAAGGCAUUAAAUUCUAGAAGUCAAUCACUUUUCCUGAUGAAUUACUUUCCAACCUAUCCAGUUGAAGCUGACUCAUGCAAAGAGCAUUCAGCUCCACUUGCUGAGAUGGUCAAUACUUGUUACAAAGCUGCGGGGAAUUUGCUGCCCAACUUUGUAGCGGUUAAUUUUUACAUGAGGAGUGAUGGAGGUGGUGUUUUUGAUAUUGUGGAUAAAAUGAAUGGCCAUUCAUUGUGUGGAUGUAGUACAAUCACAGCCUGCCAGGCAGGUGCACCCUUUGGGUCUUGCAAGAAUAUCUCUGUUCCUAGUACAAGUCCAGCGACUAAUACUGCUGGAAGCUUUACCGGAUCUGUUCAAUUCUCUAAAUCAGCUGCAUCUGUCCAUCGUCCAAAUCGUUUAUUUCUUGUCACCUUUUACUUUCUACAAAGUCUUGUUGCAGCUGUGAUGACUAAGCACUGUUGUAUGAUAUAUUUAAGCUAGUCUUUCAAGAGGAUCUCUAGUAUCUUGGCAUGUACACGGCAGUAUUAUCAUGAGCUAUGAAGUGUCAUGGAACUAUUGCUAGGUUAGAAAAAAUAGAUAUAGACAAAUUUCUUGCUGAGGCUACGUUCAAGGAUCAGUGAAAACGUUUGAGUUGAUAGUCAUGAGAGACCAAGAAUAUUUCUGGAGCUAUAAGUAGUUCAGGCUUUGUAUUAAAAAAUUAUUAGUGAACAACAAAUCAGAAUAGAACGGGUGGAAGCUCCCGAUCCUUGUUAAGGUUUGUAUUUAUAAAUGUAUCCAAUUAUUCAUAUGUCCUGUAUUUCCUUCCCACUACACGGUCUUCACUCUUGCAUUGAUGUUGUUAUAGAUAUUUUUCCAAAUUACUAUGUCUAUAAUAGAAAUGGAACACGGACAAUUUAGUUUGACAGAGGAAUUUGCAUGUGAUAUGCAUUGUUUUUAA